AUGCAGAGGGUGCCCAGCACACAGCUUCUACUCUUCUCUUCUCCUCUCUUCCAAUAACUCUCGCAAGACCCGUGGAGCAUUGCCAUGGUAACCGGGUCUCGCGAGAGUUAUUAGAAGAGAGGAGAAGAGUAGAAGCUGUGUGCUGGGCCCCCUCUGCGG